rnacentral:rRNA from 1 species
CCCGCUGAACUUAAGCAUAUCAAUAAGCGGAGGAAAAGAAACUAACAAGGAUUCCCCUAGUAACUGCGAGUGAAGCGGGAAAAGCUCAAAUUUAAAAUCUGGCGGUCUUUUGGCUGUCCGAGUUGUAAUCUAGAGAAGUGCUAUCCGCGCUGGACCGUGUACAAGUCUCCUGGAAUGGAGCAUCAUAGAGGGUGAGAAUCCCGUCUUUGACAUGGACUGCCAGGGCUUUGUGAUGUGCUCUCAAAGAGUCGAGUUGUUUGGGAAUGCAGCUCAAAAUGGGUGGUAAAUUCCAUCUAAAGCUAAAUAUUGGCGAGAGACCGAUAGCGAACAAGUACCGUGAGGGAAAGAUGAAAAGAACUUUGGAAAGAGAGUUAAACAGUACGUGAAAUUGCUGAAAGGGAAACGCUUGAAGUCAGUCGCGUCAUCCAGGGAUCAACCUUGCUUUUGCUUGGUGCACUUUCUGGUUUGAUGGGUCAGCAUCAAUUUUGACCAUUGGAAAAAGGCCAAGGGAAUGUGGCAUCUUUGGAUGUGUUAUAGCCCUUGGUCACAUACAAUGGUUGGGAUUGAGGAACUCAGCAUGCCGCAAGGCCGGGUUUUUAACCACGUUCAUGCUCAGGAUGCUGGCAAUAUGGCUUUAAUCGACCCGUCUUGAAACACGG